AGACGGAGGGUGCAAGCGUUGUGCGGAUUUACUGGGCGUAAAGGGCGUGUAGGCGGAUAUGCAAGCUGGAGGUGAAAGCCCCGGGCUCAACCCGGGAAUUGCUUUGUAGAACUGCAUAUCUAGAGAAAGUCAGAGGCAGGUGGAAUUCCAGGUGUAGAGGUGAAAUUCGUAGAGAUCUGGAGGAACACCGGCGGCGAAGGCGGCCUGCUGGGGCUUUUCUGACGCUGAGGCGCGAAAGCGUGGGGAGCAAACAGGAGUAGAAACCCGAGUAGUCC
rnacentral:rRNA from 1 species